AGUGGCGAACGGGUGAGUAAUAUAUCGGAACGUGCCCAGUCGUGGGGGAUAACGCAGCGAAAGCUGUGCUAAUACCGCAUACGAUCUCUGGAUGAAAGCGGGGGACUCGCAAGAGCCUCGCGCGAUUGGAGCGGCCGAUAUCAGAUUAGCUAGUUGGUGGGGUAAAAGCCCACCAAGGCGACGAUCUGUAGCUGGUCUGAGAGGACGACCAGCCACACUGGAACUGAGACACGGUCCAGACUCCUACGGGAGGCAGCAGUGGGGAAUUUUGGACAAUGGGCGCAAGCCUGAUCCAGCAAUGCCGCGUGCAGGAUGAAGGCCUUCGGGUUGUAAACUGCUUUUGUACGGAACGAAACGGUCCUUUCUAAUACGAGGGGCUAAUGACGGUACCGUAAGAAUAAGCACCGGCUAACUACGUGCCAGCAGCCGCGGUAAUACGUAGGGUGCGAGCGUUAAUCGGAAUUACUGGGCGUAAAGCGUGCGCAGGCGGUGAUGUAAGACAGAUGUGAAAUCCCCGGGCUCAACCUGGGACCUGCAUUUGUGACUGCAUCGCUAGAGUACGGUAGAGGGGGAUGGAAUUCCGCGUGUAGCAGUGAAAUGCGUAGAUAU
rnacentral:rRNA from 1 species